AUCUCUCCCCUCUGCCAGGGGCCAGCACGCCCUCGGGACGGCUUUCUCCGUGACCGUGAAGGAGACGUGGAGCACGGCAGCGGCCAACCUACACAGAUCAUCAUUGCUAUUUUAGGGGAUUGAGAAAUGGAACUUGGGAAAGAAAAUCAUUCAGAAUCAGAUGGAAAGAACAGGAUGAUUUUUUUUUCUUUUUUCUUUUUUUUGAGCUUCCGCUGUGUGCCAGACCUCGUUCUGAGCUCUAGGCUCUGGUGGGAGACAAGACCAGGUUCCUGUCCUCAGGGAACUGACAUUCUACUGGAGAGAGGCAGACUGCAAACAUUUAUAUCUGAAUAAGGCUGGGGAAGAAGAGAACACCCUGGCUGCUCUGCAGAGGAUGUGUCGGAAAGGAGCGAAAGUGGAGGAGAGACCAGGGGAAGCCGCUGCAGGAUCCCAGGGAAGAGGC